GGGGCGGAUGCGCGCUAUGUUUUUGAGAUGGAAGCGACAGGAUUUGACGAUUGAUUGGACAUGAGGGGUGAAGGAGAGGUUGGAGUCAAAAAGAACACACAGGCAGCGAGCCUGUAAGGUAGAGGUGAUGGUAGCACCGUUGACUUGGAGGGAGAUUGACACUGGAGUCGUAACACUUGAGGGAGGAAAGACCAGAAGUUCUGUUUUGGACAGGUUGAGUUUAAUGAAGUGAGCAGCCAUCCAUUUUGAAAUCGAAGAGAG